UACGAAGGGGGCUAGCGUUGCUCGGAUUGACUGGGCGUAAAGGGCGCGUAGGCGGCUUGUACAGUCAGACGUGAAAUUCCUGGGCUCAACCUGGGGGCUGCGUUUGAUACGUAUGGGCUUGAGUUCGGAAGAGGGUCGUGGAAUUCCCAGUGUAGAGGUGAAAUUCGUAGAUAUUGGGAAGAACACCGGUGGCGAAGGCGGCGACCUGGUCCGAUACUGACGCUGAGGCGCGAAAGCGUGGGGAGCGAACAGG
rnacentral:rRNA from 1 species